GCCAGGCAUGGUGGUGCAGGUCUGUAAUCCCAGCAGCUCAGGAGGCUGAGGCAGGAGGAUCGCCAGUUCAAAGCCAACCUCAGCAAAAGCAAGGUGCUAAGCAAUCCAGUGAGACCCUGUCUCUA
rnacentral:sRNA from 1 species